UACAGAGGGUGCAAGCGUUGUUCGGAAUUACUGGGCGUAAAGCGCGUGUAGGUGGCGAUGUAAGUCGGAUGUGAAAUCCCUCGGCUUAACCGAGGAAGUGCAUUCGAUACUGUGUCGCUUGAGUAUCGGAGGGGUCGGCGGAAUUCCCGGUGUAGAGGUGAAAUUCGUAGAUAUCGGGAGGAACACCUGUGGCGAAGGCGGCCGACUGGACGAUCACUGACACUGAGACGCGAAAGCGUGGGUAGCAAACAGG
rnacentral:rRNA from 1 species